UAAAUUAAUAAAAAUUAAAUUUUAGGAAGUAAAUGAUAAGUUCAGGAAACUUAAAGAAUUUGGCGGUAUUUAUUUUUAUUAGAGGAAUAUGUUUUUUAAAUGAUAAUCCACGAUUAUCUUACUUAGUUUUAUUUAUUUUGUAUAUCUCCGUCUAAAAAAAUUUUUUUAAAAUAUAUUUUAGUUUUUAUAAAAUAAAAUAAGUCAGGUCAAGAUGCAGAUUAUAAUUAAGUUAAAAUGUAUUACAAUAAAGUUAUUUUUGGAUAUAUUUGUGAAUAUAAAUAUUAAAAUUGGAUUUAUAAGUAAAUUUAUUUUAUAAUAAUAAAUUGAAUUUUAAUUAUAAGUAUGUA
rnacentral:rRNA from 1 species